GACGAACGCUGGCGGCGUGCUUAACACAUGCAAGUCGAACGGAAAGGCCCUGCUUGCAGGGUGCUCGAGUGGCGAACGGGUGAGUAACACGUGGGUGAUCUGCCCCUUACUUUGGGAUAGGCCUGGGAAACUGGGUCUAAUACUGGAUAGGACCAUGCUGUAGGUGGUGUGGUGGAAAGAUUAGUUUCGGUAAGGGAUGAGCUCGCGGCCUAUCAGCUUGUUGGUGGGGUAAUGGCCUACCAAGGCGUCGACGGGUAGCCGGCCUGAGAGGGUGGACGGCCACAUUGGGACUGAGAUACGGCCCAGACUCCUACGGGAGGCAGCAGUGGGGAAUAUUGCACAAUGGGCGCAAGCCUGAUGCAGCGACGCCGCGUGGGGGAUGACGGCCUUCGGGUUGUAAACUCCUUUCAGCCAUGACGAAGCCCUUGUGGUGACGGUAGUGGUAGAAGAAGCACCGGCUAACUACGUG
rnacentral:rRNA from 1 species